rnacentral:misc_RNA from 1 species
AACCUUAUGGACCUGCGGGCGUAUACCUGCGGAAGGAUCAUUACAGAGAUUGAUGCACCAAGUGCAUCACCUCCAACCCCUUGCGAAAACAACUAUCAUGUGUUGCUUUGGCAGUGUUUCCACUGCCAGAGGUUUACAUAAAAUCAGCUGUUGGAUGUUGUCUGAGUAAACUAUAUGAAUUAUUUAAAACUUUCAACAACGGAUCU